UACGGAGGAUGCGAGCGUUAUCCGGAUUUAUUGGGUUUAAAGGGUGCGUAGGCGGCUUAGUAAGUCAGCGGUGAAAUUUUGCAGCUUAACUGUAACAGUGCCGUUGAUACUGCCAGGCUAGGAUUUGGUUGUUGUGGGUGGAAUGUGUGGUGUAGCGGUGAAAUGCAUAGAUAUCACGAGGAACUCCGAUUGCGCAGGCAGCUUACUAAACUACUACUGACGCUCAGGCACGAAGGCGUGGGGAUCAAACAGGAUUAGAUA
rnacentral:rRNA from 1 species